rnacentral:rRNA from 1 species
UACGUAGGCAGCAAGCGUUGUUCGGAGUUACUGGGCGUAAAGGGUGUGUAGGCGGUUUCUUAAGUUUGGUGUGAAAUCUCCCGGCUUAACUGGGAGGGUGCGCCGAAUACUGAGAGGCUCGAGUGCGGGAGAGGAGAGUGGAAUUCCUGGUGUAGCGGUGAAAUGCGUAGAGAUGUGGAGGAACACCAGUGGCGAAGGCGACUCUCUGGUCUGUAACUGACGCUGAGGAGCGAAAGCGUGGGGAGCAAACAGG